rnacentral:misc_RNA from 1 species
ACAAAUCCAGCUAAGAGGGAGAAAGAGAAAUGUAACUCAGCAACAACUACUUCGUUUAGUUUAUAGAAAUAGAUUUCAGAUGCCUAGUACUUGACACAACUGAGUAAGGUGAACUAUCAUGGUCUCAGGUUAACACAUCGUGACCCAUCAGUUUUACAAAUGCGAAAAUGUCUACCAAAUAAAGGUAUUUCCUGAAAAAGAUCCAGCAAUCAAAAUCAGAACUAUGAUACUGACAUCUCCGCAACUGA